GACGAACGCUGGCGGCGUGCCUAACACAUGCAAGUCGAACGGGGUAAUUUCUUCGGAGAUUACUUAGUGGCGAACGGGUGAGUAACGCGUGAGAAACCUGCCUUUCAGUGGGGGACAACAGUUGGAAACGACUGCUAAUACCGCAUAAUGUCAUUUGGGGGCAUCCCUGAAUGACCUAAGAUUUAUUGCUGAAAGAUGGUCUCGCGUCUGAUUAGCUAGUUGGUGAGGUAACGGCCCACCAAGGCGACGAUCAGUAGCCGGUCUGAGAGGAUGAGCGGACACAUUGGGACUGAGAUACGGCCCAGACUCCUACGGGAGGCAGCAGUGGGGAAUAUUGGGCAAUGGGGGAAACCCUGACCCAGCAACGCCGCGUGAAGGAAGAAGGCCUUCGGGUUGUAACCUUCUUUUACCAGGGACGAACAAAUGACGGUACCUGGAGAAAAAGCAACGGCUAACUACGUGCCAGCCGCCGCCGUAAUAC
rnacentral:rRNA from 1 species